UGCGUAGGCGGUUUGGUAAGUCUUUUGUGAAAACUCCGGGCUCAACUCGGAGCUUGCAGGAGAAACUGCCGGGCUUGAGUGUGGGAGAGGUGAGUGGAAUUCCUGGUGUAGCGGUGAAAUGCGUAGAUAUCAGGAGGAACACCUGUGGCGAAAGCGGCUCACUGGACCACAACUGACGCUGAUGCACGAAAGCUAGGGGAGCAAACAGGAUUAGAUACCCUGGUAGUCCUAGCCCUAAACGAUGACUGCUUGGUGUGACGGGUACCCAAUCCCGCCGUGCCGUAGCUAACGCGUUAAGCAGUCCGCCUGGGGAGUACGGUCGCAAGGCUGAA
rnacentral:rRNA from 1 species